AUACGGAGGAUCCGAGCGUUAUCCGGAUUUAUUGGGUUUAAAGGGAGCGUAGGUGGAUUGUUAAGUCAGUUGUGAAAGUUUGCGGCUCAACCGUAAAAUUGCAGUUGAAACUGGCAGUCUUGAGUACAGUAGAGGUGGGCGGAAUUCGUGGUGUAGCGGCGAAAUGCUUAGAUAUCACGAAGAACUCCGAUUGCGAAGGCAGCUCACUAGACUGUUACUGACACUGAUGCUCGAAAGUGUGGGUAUCAAACAGGAUUAGAUACCCUGGUAGUCCACACAGUAAACGAUGAAUACUCGCUGUUUGCGAUAUACAGUAAGCGGCCAAGCGAAAGCAUUAAGUAUUCCACCUGGGGAGUACGCCGGCAACGGUGAAACUCAAAUGAAUUGACGGGG
rnacentral:rRNA from 1 species